rnacentral:rRNA from 1 species
UUAAGCGACUAAGCGUACACGGUGGAUGCCCUGGCAGUCAGAGGCGAUGAAGGACGUGCUAAUCUGCGAAAAGCGUCGGUAAGGUGAUAUGAACCGUUAUAACCGGCGAUGUCCGAAUGGGGAAACCCAGUGCAAUUCGUUGCACUAUCGUUAACUGAAUACAUAGGUUAACGAGGCGAACCGGGGGAACUGAAACAUCUAAGUACCCCGAGGAAAAGAAAUCAACCGAGAUUCCCCCAGUAGCGGCGAGCGAACGGGGAGCAGCCCAGAGUCUGAAUCAGCUUGUGUGUUAGUGGAACGGUCUGGAAAGUCCGACGGUACAGGGUGAUAGUCCCGUACACCAAAAUGCACAGGCUGUGAACUCGAAGAGUAGGGCGGGACACGUGGUAUCCUGUCUGAAUAUGGGGGGACCAUCCUCCAAGGCUAAAUACUCCUGACUGACCGAUAGUGAACCAGUACCGUGAGGGAAAGGCGAAAAGAACCCCGGCGAGGGGAGUGAAAAAGAACCUGAAACCGUGUACGUACAAGCAGUGGGAGCACCUUCGGGUGUGACUGCGUACCUUUUGUAUAAUGGGUCAGCGACUUAUAUUCUGUAGCAAGGUUAACCGUAUAGGGGAGCCGCAGGGAAACCGAGUCUUAACUGGGCGUUAAGUUGCAGGGUAUAGACCCGAAACCCGGUGAUCUAGCCAUGGGCAGGUUGAAGGUUGGGUAACACUAACUGGAGGACCGAACCGACUAAUGUUGAAAAAUUAGCGGAUGACUUGUGGCUGGGGGUGAAAGGCCAAUCAAACCGGGAGAUAGCUGGUUCUCCCCGAAAGCUAUUUAGGUAGCGCCUCGUGAAUUCAUCUUCGGGGGUAGAGCACUGUUUCGGCUAGGGGGUCAUCCCGACUUACCAACCCGAUGCAAACUACGAAUACCGAAGAAUGUUAUCACGGGAGACACACGGCGGGUGCUAACGUCCGUCGUGAAGAGGGAAACAACCCAGACCGCCAGCUAAGGUCCCAAAGUCAUGGUUAAGUGGGAAACGAUGUGGGAAGGCACAGACAGCCAGGAUGUUGGCUUAGAAGCAGCCAUCAUUUAAAGAAAGCGUAAUAGCUCACUGGUCGAGUCGGCCUGCGCGGAAGAUGUAACGGGGCUAAACCAUGCACCGAAGCUGCGGCAGCGACACUAUGUGUUGUUGGGUAGGGGAGCGUUCUGUAAGCCUGCGAAGGUGUGCUGUGAGGCAUGCUGGAGGUAUCAGAAGUGCGAAUGCUGACAUAAGUAACGAUAAAGCGGGUGAAAAGCCCGCUCGCCGGAAGACCAAGGGUUCCUGUCCAACGUUAAUCGGGGCAGGGUGAGUCGACCCCUAAGGCGAGGCCGAAAGGCGUAGUCGAUGGGAAACAGGUUAAUAUUCCUGUACUUGGUGUUACUGCGAAGGGGGGACGGAGAAGGCUAUGUUAGCCGGGCGACGGUUGUCCCGGUUUAAGCAUGUAGGCUGGUUAUCCAGGCAAAUCCGGAUAAUCAAGGCUGAGGUGUGAUGACGAGGCACUACGGUGCUGAAGUAACAAAUGCCCUGCUUCCAGGAAAAGCCUCUAAGCAUCAGGUAACAUUAAAUCGUACCCCAAACCGACACAGGUGGUCAGGUAGAGAAUACCAAGGCGCUUGAGAGAACUCGGGUGAAGGAACUAGGCAAAAUGGUGCCGUAACUUCGGGAGAAGGCACGCUGGUGUGUAGGUGAAGUCCCUGCGGAUGGAGCUGAGACCAGUCGAAGAUACCAGCUGGCUGCAACUGUUUAUUAAAAACACAGCACUGUGCAAACACGAAAGUGGACGUAUACGGUGUGACGCCUGCCCGGUGCCGGAAGGUUAAUUGAUGGGGUUAUCCGUAAGGAGAAGCUCUUGAUCGAAGCCCCGGUAAACGGCGGCCGUAACUAUAACGGUCCUAAGGUAGCGAAAUUCCUUGUCGGGUAAGUUCCGACCUGCACGAAUGGCGUAAUGAUGGCCAGGCUGUCUCCACCCGAGACUCAGUGAAAUUGAACUCGCUGUGAAGAUGCAGUGUACCCGCGGCAAGACGGAAAGACCCCGUGAACCUUUACUAUAGCUUGACACUGAACAUUGAGCCUUGAUGUGUAGGAUAGGUGGGAGGCUUUGAAGCGUGGACGCCAGUCUGCGUGGAGCCAACCUUGAAAUACCACCCUUUAAUGUUUGAUGUUCUAACGUUGGCCCCUUACCGGGGUUGCGGACAGUGUCUGGUGGGUAGUUUGACUGGGGCGGUCUCCUCCUAAAGCGUAACGGAGGAGCACGAAGGUUAGCUAAUCCUGGUCGGACAUCAGGAGGUUAGUGCAAUGGCAUAAGCUAGCUUGACUGCGAGCGUGACGGCGCGAGCAGGUGCGAAAGCAGGUCAUAGUGAUCCGGUGGUUCUGAAUGGAAGGGCCAUCGCUCAACGGAUAAAAGGUACUCCGGGGAUAACAGGCUGAUACCGCCCAAGAGUUCAUAUCGACGGCGGUGUUUGGCACCUCGAUGUCGGCUCAUCACAUCCUGGGGCUGAAGUAGGUCCCAAGGGUAUGGCUGUUCGCCAUUUAAAGUGGUACGCGAGCUGGGUUUAGAACGUCGUGAGACAGUUCGGUCCCUAUCUGCCGUGGGCGCUGGAGAAUUGAGGGGGGCUGCUCCUAGUACGAGAGGACCGGAGUGGACGCAUCACUGGUGUUCGGGUUGUCAUGCCAAUGGCACUGCCCGGUAGCUAAAUGCGGAAGAGAUAAGUGCUGAAAGCAUCUAAGCACGAAACUUGCCCCGAGAUGAGUUCUCCCUGAGACUUUAAGUCUCCUGAAGGAACGUUAAAGACGAUGACGUUGAUAGGCCGGGUGUGUAAGCGCAGCGAUGCGUUGAGCUAACCGGUACUAAUGAACCGUGAGGCUUAACCUU